rnacentral:rRNA from 1 species
AGUCGAGCGAACGGACGAGAAGCUUGCUUCUCUGAUGUUAGCGGCGGACGGGUGAGUAACACGUGGAUAACCUACCUAUAAGACUGGGAUAACUUCGGGAAACCGGAGCUAAUACCGGAUAAUAUUUUGAACCGCAUGGUUCAAAAGUGAAAGACGGUCUUGCUGUCACUUAUAGAUGGAUCCGCGCUGCAUUAGCUAGUUGGUAAGGUAACGGCUUACCAAGGCAACGAUGCAUAGCCGACCUGAGAGGGUGAUCGGCCACACUGGAACUGAGACACGGUCCAGACUCCUACGGGAGGCAGCAGUAGGGAAUCUUCCGCAAUGGGCGAAAGCCUGACGGAGCAACGCCGCGUGAGUGAUGAAGGUCUUCGGAUCGUAAAACUCUGUUAUUAGGGAAGAACAUAUGUGUAAGUGACUGUGCACACCUUGACGGUACCUAAUCAGA